rnacentral:rRNA from 1 species
UACGUAGGUGGCGAGCGUUGUCCGGAUUUACUGGGCGUAAAGGGAGCGUAGGCGGACUUUUAAGUGAGAUGUGAAAUACUCGGGCUCAACUUGAGUGCUGCAUUUCAAACUGGAAGUCUAGAGUGCAGGAGAGGAGAAUGGAAUUCCUAGUGUAGCGGUGAAAUGCGUAGAGAUUAGGAAGAACACCAGUGGCGAAGGCAGCGUACCGGCAUCCAACUGACGCUGAGGCACGAAAGCGUGGGGAUCAAACAGG